UUCGUGAUUCUCUGUUCGCUUUGUGAGAAUAAGAGUGUUGACAUUUCGCGUUAGAGUUCUUGAAUCCGCAGCUCGCUUAAAGUGCAAAUUUAGCGCGUUUGCGGCGGUCUGAGAUUCUACGUACGUAAUUUGCACCUGUAUGCACGAGGUUCCGUUCAUCUGAAUUGGGGAAUCACGUUUUCUUCUAUUCCAAAGGCAGUUUUAUUGCAAACGCACAACCAAGUGGCGCAGUUUCUGGAGCUUGCCAUUCUGCGAUAAGUUCAGGUGUGGGGAGCUUUGGAGUAAACAAUGCUCUUGUAUAAAAAUGGAAGGUGUCGGUAAUGCUUCGAGCAAUACUAGUCGUGCAGGAUCUUCAGGAAUCGAGCAAAGUGAGUGUUCGAACAUCAAGUUGGAUGCAAUUUAUAUCAUAUGUUCACAGUAUCUCUUUGCAGCAGGAUACAAGGAUGUACGAGGAAGCUUUGUGUGCGGCUAGGAAUGCUUCGGAUGCAAGGCACUUCUACCCAGAAUCAGAUUCUGAGUCGCCAGUGAAACGCAUGUCCGUCAUAAUUCCCUGCCUCUCAGUAACUUGACCUGGUCAGUAACGGUUCUGUUCAUUUUGCACCUCUUACAGCGUCUCGCCCAAAUUGCACGUUUUGUAUAGAAAUAAAUUCACAGAGGGUGGAUGUUUGAACUGGAAUAUUUAAUACUUUUGUCGCUCUUAGGUUACAGGUAUUGGGUUAUCUGAGAAGCCCCAGGUUUUUUUUGUACGUAGCAGCAAUUAAGUGCUGUUAUGUGGUCAAUCAACUGAAUAUAUUCAGUCAA